rnacentral:rRNA from 1 species
UACGGAGGGUGCAAGCGUUGUCCGGAUUUAUUGGGUUUAAAGGGUGCGUAGGCGGCCCGGUAAGUCAGUGGUGAAAGCCUCCAGCUCAACUGGAGAACUGCCAUUGAUACUGCCGGGCUUGAGUACAGACGAGGUUGGCGGAAUUGAUUGUGUAGCGGUGAAAUGCAUAGAUACAAUCAAGAACUCCGAUUGCGUAGGCAGCUAACUAGGCUGUAACUGACGCUGAGGCACGAAAGCGUGGGGAGCGAGCAGG